rnacentral:rRNA from 1 species
UACAGAGGGUGCAAGCGUUGUUCGGAAUUACUGGGCGUAAAGCGCGUGUAGGCGGCGUCGUUAGUCGGAUGUGAAAGCCCUCGGCUCAACCGAGGAAGUGCAUCCGAUACUGCGAGGCUUGAGUGUUGGAGGGGGUGGCGGAAUUCCCGGUGUAGAGGUGAAAAUUCGUAGAUAUCGGGAGGAACACCUGUGGGCGAAGGCGGCCACCUGGACAACAACUGACGCUGAGACGCGAAAGCGUGGGUAGCAAAACAGG